rnacentral:lncRNA from 10 species
AAUCUGACUACUCUAGGUACCUCAGAUGAGUGGAAUUAUGCAGUAUUUGUCCUUUUGUGGGUACAACUAAUUUGACAGGCAGUAUGAUAAGGAACAAUCUGAAUGACACGUAAACAGGAGGGGGUAAAUUCCAAGCACAGCCUGAAUGAGAAGUACAACUCAUUUCCUGUAACCUAGAUGCCUUUUUAACACAUCUAUGCAGUCUCCAUGUGAAACCAGGUGCUGUUCCCAAAGGAGAAAACACUGCCCUCCAGUGGUCUUCAAUGAAGAAAUGGAAAUAGUUUCAGGUGGAAACCAGGCUUCUUGGAAGACUUCAAACUAUGCCAAAUGGUCUGAUUUCACCAUAGAGAAUGUUAUACUAUUAAUUGCCAAUUUGCAUAUGUGUGCAGCUGCUGUUUUGGCUCUGAACUCAAUCCGAUAAGCUUGCUGGAGGUAUCGCAGAGCACUUGGCAGCUUUCCUAUUUGAAAAGAAAGCCUCUCCCCUCUACAGAACAGCUGAUCGUCUAUCAGCGAUAGACCCUGAUGGCGUGAAUUACAAUUACACUACUUUUCACACUAAAUCUGGGUGAUAGCUACUUGGAAAGAAGUUUCAUCAUUUUUUACCACAAACUGGAAAAAGAAUUACAUGGUCAUGCUGUGCUUUUAAAGGCAGUUUGGUUCACUUUUGUCUAUUUAACACCUAAUUCCAAGAAGUCCAUAGGCAUCUAGAGAUCUGAGAAAUCUAAGCUGAGACAACUUAAAACUCAAAUGAGAUGCAUGAAAGCACUUGUCAUCCUGACACCAUAUUGAGAAACAUGAUCAGAUUCUUUGCUGAAGAAUGCAGCUGUAUUAAAGGAAGAAAGAAAACCAAGCUACAGCUCCUUAUAAUUCAACAAGCAUUUAAAAGAUUUAUAAAGAUGGUGCAAUUAUGUAUUUAAGCUGCUUCAACACAAGUUCUUGCCUUUCACUCCCACCCUGUGGCUUACACUGGUAUUACAUCUAUUCUGACAUUUAAAAAUCAACAUUAAAGAACAUAUUGUAAUAAUGUAUUCUAUGGUUUAAAUAUUUAAAAAAUUUUACAUCAUACCUAGAAAGUGUUGUGUACUUUCUAAAGCUUAUAAACUGAAAAGGAUUUGAAGAAUCCUAAUACAGAAUCAUAAGUUAUAAUUCAUCCAAAAUUGUAUAGUUCUUAAAUUUCAAAUCCAAACCAGUGGAUAUCUGUCUUUAGUGACAUUUAGAUUUUAUUCAAUUAAGGUCAUUGUAGCUAUUAUAAAUGGAAGAUUUUACUUCAUUGUGUCUUAUCACUGAAGUACUUCACUCUUGCUUUUCAAAAGAUUUCUUUCAAUUUCUUCAGAGUCUUAUUUGUUCUCUAAGACAAAGACUUGAUUUCAGUUUGUUUUUCUUAAAAUUAAUAUCUUCUCCAAUUUAUUUCCCAGUUUUUUCUAAAUAAAUACUUUAAAUAUAUAGAGUAUUAUUUUUAUAGUAUCUCAGAAUUAGUAAAAUAAAAUCUUGCCAAUACAA